ACAGUUGCUGGGACAAUGAACGGCUGUCAAAACUAUUUUGGAAUUUAACAUUUUGAAAGAAAAAUUAUAUUAAUAAAUUUUGACAUAUCAGUGUUCCCAAACGUUCAUUUGGUCUGUUCCAGAACGUAAAAGAAUGUAAAACUUUUUGCUUUGUUAACCGAAUUUCCUUUUAUAAAAUCAAAAAAAAAAAAAGCAAAAAUAGUAGAUUCUUGCAGCUUAUAUCCUGCACCCUCUGAAGGAGGGUAAUUUUUUUUUGUUUUUUUGCAGUAAUGUCUCGAAAUAUCGACGGAGACUCCAUAAGCUAUAUAUAAUCCUGAUCACAAUCAAAUUCAAAGUCACACCAGUUUUUUUAGGAUAUUUAUUUAAUGACUAUAUCCAAAGACAUAAAAUGUAACUGCAAGAAUCUAUUAGUUUCGUGGUCUAUAAUUUAACCAUGAAUCGUCUUAAAAACGAACAACGCUUAUAAAUCAUUGAAUUUUAUUAUCACAAUACGCGCUAUGUUGAGAAUGUUCAUCGCGCGCUUCUUGUGUUCUGCGACACACGUUAUUUUUUGGCUAAGAAAGCAGAAAUGUCGAUUUUGGAACGAAGAUCAGCCAGAAGCAUUGCAAAAACUACCAGUGCAUCCAGAAAAAGUCAAAGUUCUGUGAGGUUUAUGUGUUGGUGUCAUUAUUGUAAAGUACUUCUUCAAAGAUUCUGCGAGAGCUACCGUGAGAUGAUAUCCAACUUUUUUUUCCCCAAAAUGCAAGACCUUGACUUGCGGGACAUGUGGUUUGAACAAACAGGUGCCACAUGCCAAACAGCACGCGUAACAAUGAAAUUGUUGAGAGGCGAACAUUUUAUUUCACGUUUGGGCCUGGUCAGACUAUUUUUUGUGGGGCAAAUAAAAUGUCAUAUCUAUACAGAUGAGCCCGCUUCAAUUCACGCAUUAGAAGAUAACACUGAAGCAAUUAUGUGUGAGAUAUCGGUCGAAAUGUUGAAGAGUUAGCCGAAAUAGAGUUCUAUCAUCAGUAAUUUUGUGUAAAAAGUUUUGGACCUAAAUCAAGUUAUAGACCCUCUCCACGCAGUGGUAUAUGUUGUGACAAGUAAAAAACUGGACCUGCGAACACGUCGACCUGCACAUAUAAUUUUCUGUCAUAGGCUGUAGCAUCCAUUUCGAACAUCCAAAUUGCACUUCAAAUACCAAAUUCGAAAUAAUUCCGGUGAAUAAUGUGGUUAAAAUCAUCAAAAUACCGAAAAUGGGGAGGUCCAUUUUCAAUACCAAAAGUCCUGCAGACAUAAUAUACAUUUGAGUAAAAUUUUUUCAACCUACUUAAUUUCGUUCGGAAGCUAGAGUGAUUUCCACAGACGGACGGAUGUCGCUAAAUUUGUGGUCUCCAAAAUGUAUAUUUCGAGGUGUUAUAAACGAAAUAAUAUACUUAAUAUACCGUCCAUACUAUGGUGGAGGGCAUAAUAAGGCAUCGAAUAAAUAAUCCAAGUAUAAGGAGCGAACAAUCACCAGAAAUACAAUAGCGGACAAGAAAUUCCAUUUGCUGGCCAAAUAAAUAGUUUUGGAUACAAUUUAAAAUAAAAGAAAAUAAAAAAACGUUUUUGUUUUUAUUUUUUUUUUGUUUAAUUUUUUAUUUUAAAGGCUUUUGUUCUUUAUAUAAUUAUUAUUAUUAUUUAAAGAGAAAACGUAACAUAAGAAUUAUAAUAAUAAUAAGAAAUCAUAGUAGAAUUUCAAAAUUAAUUAUUAUUUAAGUGAUAUAACACAAAAAUUAAGAAAAAAAUAAUAUAAAAUAAAAAAAUAUAAUAUUUAUUUGGAGAAAACACAAAAUCCGAAUAGAUUAAUGAAGAUUUUAUUGGUAUAUAGAUAUAAAAUUUAUUAAGUGGAGAAACAAAAAAAUAUAUAUAUAUUUAUAUAAGGGUGGGUGUAUGGUGUAAGUACUUAUAUAAGAUUUUAAAUGUUAAAUGUUAACUAAUAAAAAUAAAAAAACGAAACGGAGCUGAAACUAAUUUUAUAAACCAAAAUUUUGAAUGAAAAUACAAACAAAAAUAAACAAUUAUUAUUUAAUAACUAUUUCAAAUAAUUUUAGUCGAUUUUUUACAUGAAAGAAAGGCGGCAACCACUAAUUUGUUGGGUUAUAGAAAAUGACAUUCUAUUUGAAAUAGGGGUACUAUUAAAUGUUUAGGAAUACUAAUGGCUACGUUUGGAGAAAAAUAUUUUCUGCACUCAAUUUUGGGGAUGGGAGGGGGACAUGUCCGCCUAUUUGGUUGCCUGUUUUUUCAUUGGUGUAGGUGAACAACGCAUGGAAUUGGUAUGUUUAAGCACACUUGGCAAAUGGAUUUUGAAUUUUUUUUUUGAUUUGUGAAAAUCCCAAAAAUAUAUAUAAAUGGACAAAAUGGGUGGGGCGGAUAAAUACAAAUAUAUUUAAUUUCUUCAAUUUUAAUUACACGCCUAUAUAACUUAAUAUAAACUAGCAUUGUAGUGUUAGGAAAGAGCAAUCCAAGAGUUACUCUUUAAAUAUUGUUGCAGUGCUUAAUAAACCUCCUUUUUAACAAAAAAA